rnacentral:rRNA from 1 species
UACAGAGGUGCCAAGCGUUAGGCGGAAUCACUGGGCUUAAAGCGCGUGUAGGUGGACGGGUAAGUAUCUUGUGAAAUCCCACAGCUCAACUGUGGAACUGCUGGAUAUACUGCUUGUCUUGAGGCAUUCAGGGGCAACCGGAACAAAUGGUGGAGCGGUGAAAUGCGUAGAUAUCAUUUGAAACGCCUAUGGUGAAAACAGGUUGCUGGGGAUGUUCUGACACUGAGACGCGAAAGCCAGGGGAGCAAACGGGG